UCAAGUAAUGAAGUGCACAUGGUGGAUGCCUUGGCAGUCAGAGGCGAUGAAAGACGUGAUAGCCUGCGAUAAGCGUCGGUGAGGUGGCAAUAUCCUGUGACCCGGCGAUUUCUGAAUGGGGAAACCCAGCCAACAUAAGUUGGCUAUCCUAACCUUUGGUUAGGAGGCAAACCGGGAGAAGUGAAACAUCUCAGUACCCCGAGGAAAAGACAUCAAUAGAGAUUCCCCAAGUAGCGGCGAGCGAACGGGGAGUAGCCGAUCAAACUUGUAGUAGCAAAAUGGCGUGGGAAAGCCAACCAUAGUAGGUGAUAGUCCUGUAUGCGAAACUGCAAAUGCGACACAUUAAGUAGGGCGAGACACGUGAAAUCUUGUCUGAAGAUGGGGGGACCAUCCUCCAAGGCUAAAUACUCCUGACUGACCGAUAGUGAACCAGUACCGUGAGGGAAAGGCGAAAAGAACCCCUGUUAGGGGAGUGAAAUAGAACCUGAAACCGUGUGCAUACAAGCAGUCGGAGCCCACUUGUUGGGUGACGGCGUACCUUUUGUAUAAUGGGUCAGCGACUUAUAUUCUUGUAGCAAGGUUAAACCGUUUAGGGGAGCCGUAGGGAAACCGAGUCUUAAUAGGGCGAAUGAGUUGCAGGGUAUAGACCCGAAACCGAGUGAUCUAUCCAUGAGCAGGUGAAAGUGCCGUAACAGGCACCGGAGGACCGAACCCACUGUCGUUGAAAAGCCAGGGGAUGACUUGUGGAUAGGGGUGAAAGGCUAAUCAAACUCGGUGAUAGCUGGUUCUCCCCGAAAGCUAUUUAGGUAGCGCCUCGGACGAAUACCAUUGGGGGUAGAGCACUGUUUCGGCUAGGGGGUCCCGACUUACCAAACCGAUGCAAACUCCGAAUACCGAUGAGUACUAUCCGGGAGACAGACGGCGGUGCUAACGUCCGUCGUCAAGAGGGAAACAACCCAGACCGCCAGCUAAGGCCCCAAAUUCCUAGUUAAGUGGGAAACGAUGUGGGAAGGCACAGACAGCUAGGAUGUUGGCUUAGAAGCAGCCAUCAUUUAAAGAAAGCGUAAUAGCUCACUAGUCGAGUCGGCCUGCGCGGAAGAUGUAACGGGGCUCAAACUAGGAGCCGAAGCUGCGGAUUUAAUUGUUUCAAUUAAGUGGUAGGGGAGCGUUGUGUAAGCCUGUGAAGGUGUAUCGUAAGGUAUGCUGGAGGUAUCACAAGAGCGAAUGCUGACGUGAGUAACGACAAAACGGGUGAAAAGCCCGUUCGCCGAAAGACCAAGGGUUCCAGUCCAACGUUAAUCGGGCUGGGUGAGUCGACCCCUAAGGCGAGGCCGAAAGGCGUAGUCGAUGGGAAAUUGGUUAAUAUUCCAAUACUUGUUUAUGAUGCGAUGGAGGGACGGAGAAGGUUAUGUCAGCCUGGCGUUGGUUGUCCAGGUGAAAGGAUGUAGGUAGGCUUGGUAGGCAAAUCCGCCAAGCUAUUACUGAGAUCUGAUAGCAAGCCAGCUUGCUGGCGAAGUGGCAAAUACCCUGCUUCCAGGAAAAGCUUCUAAGCGAUAGUCAUAAACAAAUCGUACCCGAAACCGACACAGGUGGUCAGGUAGAGAAUACUAAGGCGCUUGAGAGAACUCUGCUGAAGGAACUAGGCAAAAUGGUACCGUAACUUCGGGAGAAGGUACGCUGCCGACGGUGAUUAAACUUGCUUUAUGAGCUGUUGGCAGUCGCAGAUACCAGGCUGCUGCAACUGUUUAUUAAAAACACAGCACUCUGCAAACACGAAAGUGGACGUAUAGGGUGUGAUGCCUGCCCGGUGCUGGAAGGUUAAUUGAUGGGGUUAGCGUAUGCGAAGCUCUUGAUCGAAGCCCCAGUAAACGGCGGCCGUAACUAUAACGGUCCUAAGGUAGCGAAAUUCCUUGUCGGGUAAGUUCCGACCUGCACGAAUGGCAUAAUGAUGGCAGCGCUGUCUCCAGCAGAGACUCAGUGAAAUCGAAAUCGCAGUGAAGAUGCUGUGUACCCGCGGCUAGACGGAAAGACCCCGUGAACCUUUACUACAGCUUUACAUUGAACUUUGACCUAACUUGUGUAGGAUAGGUGGGAGGCUUUGAAGUGUGAACGCCAGUUUGCAUGGAGCCAUCCUUGAAAUACCCCCUGGUUAUGU
rnacentral:rRNA from 1 species